rnacentral:rRNA from 1 species
CUGAACAUUGAGCCUUGAUGUGUAGGAUAGGUGGGAGGCUUUGAAGUGUGGACGCCAGUCUGCAUGGAGCCGACCUUGAAAUACCACCCUUUAAUGUUUGAUGUUCUAA